rnacentral:lncRNA from 1 species
UGGAGAAAGUCAUAAAACAGUGAUGUUGGAUGUCAUGAAACAAUAUCAAAAUUGAUAAAAUAAUAAAAAAAUUGAUAAAAUAGUGCUAGAAGUUGUGAAACAGUGUCGAAAGUCAUGAAACAUUGGCGAAAGUCGUAAAACAAUGGCGAAUGUCAAAAAAUAACAGAGAAAGUCAUAAAAUUAAUAUAGAAAGGCAUCAAACGUUGCUGAAGUCAUAAAACAGUGCGAAAAAUCAUAACACAAAAUGGGAAGUG